CAAAAUGCUAUGAAGGAGUAAAGUACAUUAUCGAAAAUCACAGGGAGAUAACACCGUAGACUGAGAGUGUUAUCGUUAAGUAGAUAAUGGAAAGUUCCCUCCGGAGCAGCGUGCUGAACUAAUAGUAGGCAUUGCCGGUCAUACCGUUAUCCAAAUGAGUGAGCAUUUUUUAUAAAAUGCUAAUUUAGGUGGUACCGCGGAUUCUUCGUCCUAUUG
rnacentral:ncRNA from 1 species